GUGGGGAAUAUUGCGCAAUGGGGGAAACCCUGACGCAGCGACGCCGCGUGGGCGAUGAAGGCCUUCGGGUCGUAAAGCCCUGUCGAGUGGGACGAAACGCGCGAGCUCUAACAUAGCUCGCGCCUGACGGUACCGCGAGAGGAAGCCCCGGCUAACUCCGUGCCAGCAGCCGCGGUAAUACGGAGGGGGCUAGCGUUAUUCGGAAUUAUUGGGCGUAAAGGGCGUGUAGGCGGCCGCAUAUGUCCCAUGUGAAAGCCCUCGGCUCAACCGGGGAAUUGCAUGGGAAACUGUGUGGCUUGAGUCCGGGAGAGGAGAGUGGAAUUCCCAGUGUAGCGGUGAAAUGCGUAGAUAUUGGGAGGAACACCAGUGGCGAAGGCGGCUCUCUGGACCGGUACUGACGCUGAGACGCGAAAGCCAGGGGAGCAAACGGGAUUAGAAACCCGAGUAGUCC
rnacentral:rRNA from 1 species